AUUGAACGCUGGCGGCAUGCUUUACACAUGCAAGUCGAACGGUAACAGGUUAAGCUGACGAGUGGCGAACGGGUGAGUAAUGCAUCGGAACGUGCCCGAUCGUGGGGGAUAACGCAGCGAAAGCUGCGCUAAUACCACAUACGAUCUGAGGAUGAAAACGGGGGACCGUAAGGCCUCGCGCGAUCGGAGCGGCCGAUGUCAGAUUAGGUAGUUGGUGGGGUAAAGGCCCACCAAGCCGACGAUCUGUAGCUGGUCUGAGAGGACGACCAGCCACACUGGGACUGAGACACGGCCCAGACUCCUACGGGAGGAAGCAGUGGGGAAUUUUGGACAAUGGGCGAAAGCCUGAUCCAGCAAUGCCGCGUGCAGGAAGAAGGCCUUCGGGUUGUAAACUGCUUUUGUACGGAGCGAAAAGGCCCUUUCUAAUACAAGGGGCUCAUGACGGUACCGUAAGAAUAAGCACCGGCUAACUACGUGCCAGCCGCCGCAGUAAUAC
rnacentral:rRNA from 1 species